AGCCCUUGGGAUCCUCCGCAGGAGCAGCUGGGUCUUUGUUCUACCUGCACUGUAGCUCAGCACCUCGCUCCUCCUACAGUCCUGCCUCCCCAUUUCCUGAGGCAUGCUGACCCUACAGCUCUUCAGGAUGCUUCCUGCAUUCCUGUAUCCAUCUCUAGUCUGCCUUACAGAGAAACUGACCUUGGUAAGUUGUCUGUAAAGCUUACUCUAAAAUAUAAAUUUGAAGCCUGAAUACUCAUCAGCUCGCAAUGAGGACCUCAGGGCUGGCAGUGAGUGGGGCUGGGCACCAUGGCUGGGAUGCAAUUGAUAAAACUUUCACUGGCAGUAAGCUGGGAUGGCGUAACCACAGGCAGGAAAUUCCUUGGCAUCAGGCUUUUGAAACAAAUUGGGAAAUGGUAGUUAUAAGGACUAACUUGUUCCAUGGCUAUCACUGGGCAUAUUUUUUUUGGGGAAAUAUGCUGAGAAGCUACGAGUGAUUGAUUAUGAGUUAAGGUUCAGCGUGAAAGCAAGAGGACUUCUUGGCAGCACUGCACUUUCUUAUCUCUUGUGGCUAGAGGGCAGAAAGAAUAGAGGGUUGGGCCCUGGACAUCAUUAAAAGAGUAGCAGAAUCACAGAGGAGGAUGAAUCUCAGCUUCAACGGUUGCUAUGCUGGGGUAGGGCCCUGAUGGGGAAGUUGUGGGACCCUGAGAUGUGGGAGUGGACAUUUGGGUCAAAGCACUCAAAGAUCUUCGGUUGACUUAAGAGUUGCUGGGUACAAUUGCAGCAGCAUAGCUACUUAUCUGUAUAAAAUAUCCUCCCCAAAUCAAAUAAAAAAUGAAAACAAAGUAAGUUCUGCACAACCCUGGCUCUCAGUAUUACUUGAAGAGAGAAAGCCAAACUGCAAAAUGACCGUGAGUCAAAACAGAACACUCACCUAACCCUAGUGCACAGUCUCUUACCCGGCUCCCACGCCACUGGUGCAGCACUUAUGUAACCACAAGGCAUCUUGCAUUUUACCUGCCAGCCUAGACAACUUAAAAUGCAUUUCCAGCCUUAGUACCUGAGCAAAGAUGCUACAUCUGGCAAACCGAAAGCACCCAAAAAUGCCAGCCCUGGUCCUGGUCCAAGCCAGUGGGUGGAUGAAUAACUGAAAAGCAAAUGCAAUCCAGUCUUGAUGGUGCAGUUUUACCUCCCUGAGAAGUAAAACUAUGAACCCUAGAAACAUCACAAGGAUCAGGAAUAGGAGAAAUUCCAAGGUGGGAGAGGAAGAAGGGAGACUGACUAGGGGCCUCAGGACUGAGGGACAGCCCUGCAGCCAGGCACCUGGGACCCAUCCCCCAACACCAGCCCCAGCCAUAAACGGAGGCAAAGGAAUGACAUAGAAAAGAGCAAAAGCCUCAAGUCAAUUAAAUCACCACUUCAAGAAACUAGAAAAAGUAGAGCAAAAUAAACUCAAAGCAAGCAGGAGACAGGAAUUAAUAAAAAGAAGAGUGCAAAAAAUGAAUAAACUGGAAACACAAAAACAAUUUAAAAACUCACGGAAACAAAGUGGUCCUUUGAAAAGACCAAUAAAAUGGAAAAAAACUAUAGCAAGGCUGAUGAAGAAGAAAACAGAAAUGGCAUAUUUUAGAUAUGAGGUUGAAACAGGGGAUAUCGCCAUAACCCUUCAGACACCAAAAAGAUAAUAAGGAGAUAUUAUGAACAACUCUACACACAAAAAUAUGACAACUUAGAUAAAAUGGACACAAAAUUCUUCAAAAGGCACGAGUUACCGGAACUCACCCAAUAUGAAAUGAAUAAUAUGAGUAACCCUAAACUACUGAGGAAAUUGAAUUUAUACUUUUAAAACACCCCCAAAAAUUCUUGAGGCCCAAGUGUUUCAAAGAAAAAUACUGCAAAGCAUUUAAAUAUGAAUUAAAACCAAAUUUAGUGCACAGAAAGAUAGUCAUAAAAGAAAUUUGAGGAAAAUUUGAAUGUAUACUCCAUUUUAGAUGAUAUAAGGGAAUUGUUUUAAUAAUUUUAUGAAAUUUAGUGAUUAAAAAUUUGAAAUUGUAUUAACUGUAAUAAUGAUACUGGUUUUGUUAUGCUGUCUUUAGUCAUAAGAUCACCCAACUAUGGAUUCCAUUUGGAACUGCGUGUACAUGCAUGACUGAGUUAGCUGUGGACAUGAUCACACGCCUUCCAUACAUCUCUGAUUAUAGAAGAUAUUUUUUGCCCUCCAUUUCCUAUAUUUACUCUUCCAGCAGACAGGGACAUGGAAAAAUCCGUGACCUAGCACUGACCCAGCAGAUAAGACUAACCACCAUAAGUACAGUUUUUGAAAGAAAAUGAAGUAGUUAAGGCUAAAGCUUUAACAUGGAGUCAAGCGUUUGUAAGAGCAUUGCACUCACACCUGCUAAAGGUCAAGCCACAGGAUGUUGCUGUAGACCUGGAUAACAAUGGACUGAAGUCAAGUUAGCAGGUCUAAUCUGUGCCAAGUCCCAAAUUUGAAAAGAGGGAAGGUUUCUUGGAAUCUAGGUCUUCAGUUGGGCCAGGUUGGGUCCAAAAACAAUGAUCACUGAGUACUAAGAAAGCCAAAGGCAGCAGAACAUAGAGGAGUAGAAACACCAAGAAAAGGCUCAAAU
rnacentral:lncRNA from 1 species